UGUUCCCGUGCUCCAAUUGAGUAGUACACGGAUCUCCGUUGAUAACCAAUUGUGUAUUGCAAGCCAUGAGACCAAGGAGUAUUUCGUAUGAAAACCAUAUGCCUUAUGCCAUUUUAGCAGGCUGCAUCGCACAACCACAGCUAAAGCCGCUUUUUCUCAGUAACUCGAUGGCUACAUGAGAGGUGUUUCCGUUCCAGUCAAAGGUUAAGUCCGUGAUAAAUAUAAGACAGGAGACACGGUGACAUUGAGCUGAGAGAUAGUGGUGGUUUACUGACAAAUCACACGACCAAAAAGAAGUAUAAACUGAAUGCGAUCGGUGAUGCCCAACCGGUUAUUGACGCUCGUGGUAUCUUUGCUUAUGCUACGAACAUAGGAAUGAUUCCAUCUCCAUCAGUAGCUUAACUCUUCUUCACAUUCAUUGUGUGUAACAGAGUAAGUUUGUAAAUAAAACUGGUUCCUUAAAGUAAUUUUAACCAAAUUUGGUUUGUUAUCGGUUAUCUGAUUUGAACGGUUUAAUAAAUUGGUAGUAUUAAAAUUAACCAUAAAGCAACCGGUUCAGAAAAAAACAAGACAUCGCUAAACCUAGACUUGUGUCUCUUUAUAACGCCGCUUCUCUUCAAACAUUGUCUUCACACUCGGAAAAAACAUGUCAACCACGGCGGUUAAACCCUCCGCCCUAAAAAGAUUCGGAACCCAUCACGACCACAAUAGCGAGAGUAACGGCGAUGAACAACAACCUCCAUCAGCUUCUUCUUAAUGCAGCUUGACUCCGCCAUUAGUGUCAAGCUCUCAGCUUUAGAGCUUGAUCCCAUUAAAGAUAAAUGUAUAGUAUAGUUGCUUUAUCUCAAAACUUGUAUCAAAAUGUAAGCAACUUGGGAGAGCAUAUAAAGAUGUGUUUUGGGUCUCCCUGGAGAGAGAGAGAAGGUUGAUCCUGGAAACCCAUAUGUUCUCGUUGCUAGCUCCUCUGCUUUGAGAUCUUUGGAACUUCUGAGGUACCGUUGUGAGUUUGUGUUCUGGUUUUUGUUGUUGUUUGACUUAAACUGAGAUCUCUUGUGUAUGAAUGUUUACUGCUUUGUGUGAACUUUUGGGAUAUGAUGACAACAAUACGUAAUCUCUAAGGCUAAUGCUCUGCAGAUUAAAAUGUAUUUGCACGUCAGUCUGAUCCCGUUGUAGAUAACAUUAGUAGUUAAUGCACAUUCAUGUAGUUCAUCCCUUUGUUUAUUUCAUGAUAAUAAGAGUAUGGGAAGUGAUGAUAAGAUAUAUCAAUAUGUCAUAGGCACAUGCAGUGCUGAACAACAUCUUUGCACGUCAGUCUGAUCCCAUUAUGUACCCAUCAUUUUUGUUGUGUGCUUGUAGCACAAAGCUUAAUGCAUCUAAUCAGGUUAUUUAUUCCUCUUUUUUCAUAAUAAGAGUUUGGGAAAUGAUGAUAAGAUAUCAAUAUGUCAUAGGCAUAUGCAAUGCUGAAUAACAUAUUUGCACGUCAGUCUGAUCCCAUUAUAUACCCAUCAUGUUUGUUGUGGAGCAUAAAGCUUAAUGCAUGUAUUCAGGUUAUUCAUUCCUCUUUUUUUUUCUAUUUCUUUCAUGACAAGAGUGUGGAGAAUGAUGAUAAAGAUAUCGAUAUUACAUAGGCAUAUGCAAUGCUGAACCUAAUAUUUGCACGUCAGUCUGACCCCAGCUCUUGUUUCUUUGUUUUAUUUUUCUUACAAGUCAUAUUCUUCUUGUUGGUUGUGUUUGUAUACUCAGUUCUGUUGUAGAUCUCUCAGUCUCAAUUGGUUAUAUUAAGUUGAAUUCAUUAUUGGCGUAGCUUUCACGUUAAGCCCACAGUCAGGUUUGUUUCGCCACUCUUCAAUAAGUUCCUUUCAUCAUCAUCAAACUUCACUACUAUUUUACAGUUCUGAAAAAAAAAAGAAAUGAUGUUGAACUUUUGCAGAGAUGAGUUUUGGGAUUUGUAUAAGAACUGCUUCCACCAGAGAGUCCUAGAAGGAAGUCUACGUAUCUGUCUGUAUCGUCCAAAGCCACCACCAGCUCCAAAGCUUAAGAACAAUAAGAAACAUAGACGAAACCAGCAUUGAACUAACUUUGUGAGAGAAAUUCACUGUUGUGUUAAUUAGUGUUCUUUUGGCCUAAAGUAGUGCACUUAGAUUCACUCGGAAAAAAAUGAUCCUCUCAAAGUCAAAUCAAUAGAAGGAUUAUGUGUUAAUGUUU